rnacentral:rRNA from 1 species
UACAUGGGGUGCAAACGUUGCUCGGAAUUACUGGGCGUAAAGCGUGCGCAGGCGGCUUUGCAAGACAGAUGUGAAAUCCCCGGGCUUAACCUGGGAACUGCAUUUGUGACUGCAUGGCUGGAGUGCGGCAGAGGGGGAUGGAAUUCCGCGUGUAGCAGUGAAAUGCGUAGAUAUGCGGAGGAACACCGAUGGCGAAGGCAAUCCCCUGGGCCUGCACUGACGCUCAUGCACGAAAGCGUGGGGAGCAAACAGG